CGACUUUAAAAUUCGAACACAUUAUUUUCUAUGAGUGUAGGCACACCGGCGGUGCUGUUCGGCGUCUGUUCGCGGCACCCAGCUACGUUGUGUUAUACUUGUAAGAAUUGUUCUAGACCAGCGAAAAUUUGACACUA